UGAACCUCGGUUAUUAUUUUU
rnacentral:piRNA from 1 species